UACGGAGGGGGCUAGCGUUGUUCGGAAUUACUGGGCGUAAAGCGCGCGUAGGCGGACCAGAAAGUUGGGGGUGAAAUCCCGGGGCUCAACCUCGGAACUGCCUUCAAAACUCCUGGUCUGGAGUUCGAGAGAGGUGAGUGGAAUUCCGAGUGUAGAGGUGAAAUUCGUAGAUAUUCGGAGGAACACCAGUGGCGAAGGCGGCUCACUGGCUCGAUACUGACGCUGAGGUGCGAAAGCGUGGGGAGCAAACAGG
rnacentral:rRNA from 1 species